UAGGCAAAAUUUGGUGCAAAAAUGAGCAAAAUUUUCAUUUUUUUGUUGAAUUUUCUGAUUUUUUUAUUAUUUUUCACUAUUUUUUUUAUUUCAAGCAUUAUUUGAGUGAAAAGAAACUCAUUGCAACCCAUUGGCAUUAAAAUAAAACAAUUUAAUUUUUUUUGCAAAAUUUCUCAAAAAAAUGGCAAGGGGUACCCCUUAUGAAAUUUUCGAGUGGAAAAUUUUUUUGAAAUUUUUUUCUGAUUUUUAAUUCUUUUUUUAAUUUAAAGCAUCAUUUGAGUGAAAAGAAACUUAUUGCAACAAAUUCCCAUCAAAAUAUAUCACAUUUAAAAUUUUUGCUGAAUUGCAGAAAAUUGAGGUAAAUUUUACAUUUUCUCAAACAGGGUAAGGAACUUGGUUCCUCGAAUAACUUCUGGCACAGACAUCUGAGGGCAUGGUCGUCCAAGAAGAAAAUGUAGCCGUUGGUGUCAUCUAUCGACCACAGGUUAAAGAUUGGCGAUCCGUUGGAUACCGACCGAGUUAUAGGCAAAAUUUGGCGCAAAAAUGAGGAAAAUUUUACAUUUUCUCAAACAGGGUAAGGAACUUGGUUCCUCGAAUAACUUCUGGCACAGACAUCUGAGGGCAUGGUCGUCCAAGAAGAAAAUGUAGCCAUUGGUGCCAUCUAUCGACCACAGGUGAAAGAUUGGCGAUUCGUUGGAUACCGACCGAGUUAUAGGCAAAAUUUGGUGCAAAAAUGAGCAAAAUUUUCAUUUUUUUGUUGAAUUUUCUGAUUUUUUUAUUAUUUUUCACUAUUUUUUUUAUUUCAAGCAUUAUUUGAGUGAAAAGAAACUCAUUGCAACCCAUUGGCAUUAAAAUAAAACAAUUUAAUUUUUUUUGCAAAAUUUCUCAAAAAAAUGGCAAGGGGUACCCCUUAUGAAAUUUUCGAGUGGAAAAUUUUUUUGAAAUUUUUUUCUGAUUUUUAAUUCUUUUUUUAAUUUAAAGCAUAAUUUGAGUGAAAAGAAACUUAUUGCAACAAAUUCCCAUCAAAAUAUAUCACAUUUAAAAUUUUUGCUGAAUUGCAGAAAAUUGAGGUAAAUUUUACAUUUUCUCAAACAGGGUAAGGAACUUGGUUCCUCGAAUAACUUCUGGCACAGACAUCUGAGGGCAUGGUCGUCCAAGAAGAAAAUGUAGCCGUUGGUGUCAUCUAUCGACCACAGGUUAAAGAUUGGCGAUCCGUUGGAUACCGACCGAGUUAUAGGCAAAAUUUGGCGCAAAAAUGAGGAAAAUUUUACAUUUUCUCAAACAGGGUAAGGAACUUGGUUCCUCGAAUAACUUCUGGCACAGACAUCUGAGGGCAUGGUCGUCCAAGAAGAAAAUGUAGCCAUUGGUGCCAUCUAUCGACCACAGGUGAAAGAUUGGCGAUUCGUUGGAUACCGACCGAGUUAUAGGCAAAAUUUGGUGCAAAAAUGAGCAAAAUUUUCAUUUUUUUGUUGAAUUUUCUGAUUUUUUUAUUAUUUUUCACUAUUUUUUUUAUUUCAAGCAUUAUUUGAGUGAAAAGAAACUCAUUGCAACCCAUUGGCAUUAAAAUAAAACAAUUUAAUUUUUUUUGCAAAAUUUCUCAAAAAAAUGGCAAGGGGUACCCCUUAUGAAAUUUUCGAGUGGAAAAUUUUUUUGAAUUUUUUUUCUGAUUUUUUAUUCUUAUUUUAAUUUAAAGCAUAAUUUGAGUGAAAAGAAACUUAUUGCAACAAAUUCCCAUCAAAAUAUAUCACAUUUAAAAUUUUUGCUGAAUUGCAGAAAAUUGAGGUAAAUUUUACAUUUUCUCAAACAGGGUAAGGAACUUGGUUCCUCGAAUAACUUCUGGCACAGACAUCUGAGGGCAUGGCCGUCCAAGAAGAAAAUGUAGCCAUUGGUGCCAUCUAUCGACCACAGGUUAAAGAUUGGCGAUCCGUUGGAUACCGACCGAGUUAUAGGCAAAAUUUGGCGCAAAAAUGAGGAAAAUUUUACAUUUUCUCAAACAGGGUAAGGAACUUGGUUCCUCGAAUAACUUCUGGCACAGACAUCUGAGGGCAUGGCCGUCCAAGAAGAAAAUGUAGCCAUUGGUGUCAUCUAUCGACCACAGGUUAAAGAUUGGCGAUCCGUUGGAUACCGACCGAGUUAUAGGCAAAAUUUGGCGCAAAAAUGAGGAAAAUUUUACAUUUUCUCAAACAGGGUAAGGAACUUGGUUCCUCGAAUAACUUCUGGCACAGACAUCUGAGGGCAUGGCCGUCCAAGAAGAAAAUGUAGCCAUUGGUGCCAUCUAUCGACCACAGGUUAAAGAUUGGCGAUCCGUUGGAUACCGACCGAGUUAUAGGCAAAAUUUGGCGCAAAAAUGAGGAAAAUUUUACAUUUUCUCAAACAGGGUAAGGAACUUGGUUCCUCGAAUAACUUCUGGCACAGACAUCUGAGGGCAUGGCCGUCCAAGAAGAAAAUGUAGCCAUUGGUGUCAUCUAUCGACCACAGGUUGAAGAUUGGCGAUCCGUUGGAUACCGACCGAGUUAUAGGCAAAAUUUGGUGCAAAAAUGAGCAAAAUUUUCAUUUUUUUGUUGAAUUUUCUGAUUUUUUUAUUAUUUUUCACUCUUUUUUUUAUUUCAAGCAUUAUUUGAGUGAAAAGAAACUCAUUGCAACCCAUUGGCAUUAAAAUAAAACAAUUUAAUUUUUUUUGCAAAAUUUCUCAAAAAAAUGGCAAGGGGUACCCCUUAUGAAAUUUUCGAGUGGAAAAUUUUUUUGAAAUUUUUUUCUGAUUUUUAAUUCUUUUUUUAAUUUAAAGCAUAAUUUGAGUGAAAAGAAACUUAUUGCAACAAAUUCCCAUCAAAAUAUAUCACAUUUAAAAUUUUUGCUGAAUUGCAGAAAAUUGAGGUAAAUUUUACAUUUUCUCAAACAGGGUAAGGAACUUGGUUCCUCGAAUAACUUCUGGCACAGACAUCUGAGGGCAUGGCCGUCCAAGAAGAAAAUGUAGCCAUUGGUGUCAUCUAUCGACCACAGGUUGAAGAUUGGCGAUCCGUUGGAUACCGACCGAGUUAUAGGCAAAAUUUGGCGCAAAAAUGAGGAAAAUUUUACAUUUUCUCAAACAGGGUAAGGAACUUGGUUCCUCGAAUAACUUCUGGCACAGACAUCUGAGGGCAUGGCCGUCCAAGAAGAAAAUGUAGCCAUUGGUGUCAUCUACCG